rnacentral:rRNA from 1 species
UGCCUGUAAGACUGGGAUAACUCCGGGAAACCGGGGCUAAUACCGGAUGGUUGUUUGAACCGCAUGGUUCAAACAUAAAAGGUGGCUUCGGCUACCACUUACAGAUGGACCCGCGGCGCAUUAGCUAGUUGGUGAGGUAACGGCUCACCAAGGCAACGAUGCGUAGCCGACCUGAGAGGGUGAUCGGCCACACUGGGACUGAGACACGGCCCAGACUCCUACGGGAGGCAGCAGUAGGGAAUCUUCCGCAAUGGACGAAAGUCUGACGGAGCAACGCCGCGUGAGUGAUGAAGGUUUUCGGAUCGUAAAGCUCUGUUGUUAGGGAAGAACAAGUACCGUUCGAAUAGGGCGGUACCUUGACGGUACCUAACCAGAAAGCCACGGCUAACUACGUGCCAGCAGCCGCGGUAAUACGUAGGUGGCAAGCGUUGUCCGGAAUUAUUGGGCGUAAAGGGCUCGCAGGCGGUUUCUUAAGUCUGAUGUGAAAGCCCCCGGCUCAACCGGGGAGGGUCAUUGGAAACUGGGGAACUUGAGUGCAGAAGAGGAGAGUGGAAUUCCACGUGUAGCGGUGAAAUGCGUAGAGAUGUGGAGGAACACCAGUGGCGAAGGCGACUCUCUGGUCUGUAACUGACGCUGAGGAGCGAAAGCGUGGGGAGCGAACAGGAUUAGAUACCCUGGUAGUCCACGCCGUAAACGAUGAGUGCUAAGUGUU